CCGAAACACAAACAGUCCCCAGAGGGGACCGAAACUCCCGGCUGGAGAAAACACGCUUGUCGGGUUUCUGUCCCGCCUCUGAUGCAGGACAGAGUAGGGUGCAGUGGCCCGGGCCCCCACGGGCUUCUGGGCAUGCGUCCCGCCAGACGUGGCCCAGUGGGCGGAUCCGGUCGUUGGUCCGGAGCGGGAGGUCGCAUCCAGGGGCCAGGACCCCAGCGCCGCGGAGGAAGCCUCCCUUUCAUCUCACCGCGGGCUGUCAUGUGACCUGGGAGGGCAAUCUGGAGGCAUGCAUUAAAAUAGACACGUUUCUGGGGACCUGGGAAUUUCACCUUCUCUCCAGCUGUCAGAGCCUUGACAGGAAACAGAAUUCCCUCAAGACGGGCAAACGGAAGUCAAGCUUUAAUUCCUCAGAGGCAUGGACAGGGUCAAGGGACCCAAGGAGAGACCUGGAGUUACAAAUCAGAAAAUCCAACUCAAAUUGGAUUGACCAAUGAAAGGAACACCAACUGCAGGUCUGGCUGCAUUCAGGGGCUCCAACAAUGUCAUCUUUCUGUCUUGUGGCUCUUUCCCUUGUGUGGUGUUCUCAGGUGUGGACAAAGGCCAGAGGCAUGAAACCGGCUUGGACCACUUGUCCAUCCCUGGUAGGAAUGGAGGAGGGAAUAGAGGACUGACUCUACCUGGAUCCCACCUUCCCCUGGAGCUGGGGGGAAGCACAGCGUUCCUGGAACUCAUGAACUCAGAGUGGGGGAAGGAUGUCUCCCCAGAAGAAAAUCAAUGUGCGUGAACAAGAGAUGGGGGGUGGGUGCUGCACAGGCAAAACCCCUGAUGGCACCACAAUAAAUGCAGCCUCAUGUUUGCACAUAUUUAA